GAGGGUAUAGUGCAAGUGGUAGAGCGCAUGCCUAGCGUGCACGAGGUCAUGGGUUCAAUCCCCAGUACCCCCU
rnacentral:tRNA from 1 species